rnacentral:rRNA from 1 species
AGCCUAUCCUAGCUCCACCAACCACAAUCAACAAACCCACUAAAUCCACCCAACUAAAACAUUACCCCUAAACUUAGUAUAGGUGAUAGAAAAGUUAACCCGGACGCCAUAGAAAAAGUACCGUAAGGGAAAGGUGAAAUAACAGUGAAAACCACAGCACUACACAGCAAAGAUGAACCCUUGUACCUCUUGCAUCAUGAUCUAGCAAGAACACUCAGACAAAGAGAACUUAAGCCUGCCACCCCGAAACCCAAGCGAGCUACUCACAAGCAGCUACCCCGAGCUAACCCGUCUCUGUCGCAAAAGAGUGGGAUGACUUGUUAGUAGAGGUGAAAAGCCAACCGAGCUGGGUGAUAGCUGGUUGCCUGCAAGAUGAAUUUAAGUUCCCCCUUAGUCUCUUUCCCCAAGACAACUUAACCCACCUCCCCUGUAACAGACUAAGAGCUACCUAAAGGAGGUACAGCCCCUUUAACAAAGGAUACAACCUUCACUAGCGGAUAACCCCACCCCACCUCACACCCGUGGGCCCUAAAGCAGCCACCCCUAAAGAGUGCGUCAAAGCUCCAAACUCAAAAAUCCAAAAACAACGCGACUCCCUACAUCCAUAGCAAGCCAACCUAUCACUAUAGAUGAACCAAUGCUAGAACGAGUAACCAGGAUAUCACAUCCCCUCAAGCGCCAGCCUGCACACCAUUAACAGCACAAGCCACAAUAUCACCCCCCCCUACCCCGACAAACAUUGAACUACACCCUGUCAACCCAACUCAGGAGCGCAUAAAUAGGACGAUUUAAAUCUGCAAAAGGAACUCGGCAAACCCAAGGCCCGACUGUUUACCAAAAACAUAGCCUUCAGCCAAACAAGUAUUGAAGGUGAUGCCUGCCCAGUGACACCCAGUUCAACGGCCGCGGUAUCCUAACCGUGCAAAGGUAGCGCAAUCAAUUGUCCCAUAAAUCGAGACUUGUAUGAACGGCUAAACGAGGCCUUAACUGUCUCCUGCAGACAAUCAGUGAAACUGAUCUCCUCGUGCAAAAGCGAGAAUGAACACACAAGACGAGAAGACCCUGUGGAACUUUAAAAUCAAUAGCCACCACACACUCAACACCAAACCUACUGGCCCACUACUGAAAACACUGGCUAAUAUUUUUAGGUUGGGGCGACCCUGGAGAAAAACAAAUCCUCCAAAGCCAAGGCCAUAACCCUUAACCAAGAACCACCCCUCAACGUACUAACAGUAUACAGACCCAAUAAAAUUGAUCAAUGAACCAAGCUACCCCAGGGAUAACAGCGCAAUCUCCCCCAAGAGCCCCUAUCGACGAGGAGGUUUACGACCUCGAUGUUGGAUCAGGACAUCCUAGUGGUGCAACCGCUACUAAGGGCUCGUUUGUUCAACGAUUAACAGUCCUACGUGAUCUGAGUUCAGACCGGAGUAAUCCAGGUCGGUUUCUAUCUAUGACUAACCUUCCCUAGUACGAAAGGACCGGAAAGGUAGGGCCAAUACCUCAAGCACGCCCUCUCCCCAAGUGAUGCCCUCAACUAAAUCACCAAAGGAUCACACCCCACACCCACAGAAAAUGGUC